rnacentral:rRNA from 1 species
UACGUAGGUGGCAAGCGUUGUUCGGAAUUAUUGGGCGUAAAGGGCGCGUAGGCGGUUCGUUAAGUCAGUUGUGAAAGCCCGGGGCUCAACCCCGGAGAGUCGACUGAUACUGGCGGGCUAGAGUACGGAAGAGGUAGCUGGAAUUCCCGGUGUAGCGGUGAAAUGCGUAGAUAUCAGGAGGAACACCGGUGGCGAAGGCGGGUCUCUGGGCCGGAACUGACGCUAAGGAGCGAAAGCGUGGGUAGCAAACAGG